UACCAUGAGCUCCAGCUGCUCCCUGGCCCGCAAGGUGGCCGACAAGGUGCUGGAGGGGCAGCUCCUGGAGACCAUCAGUCAGCUCUACCUGUCCCUGGGUACCGAGCGGGCCUACAAAUCCACUCUGGACUACACUAAAUGAAGUCUGGGGAUUUUCAUUGAUCUUCA